UGAGGAAUAUUGGUCAAUGGGCGGGAGCCUGAACCAGCCAAGCCGCGUGAGGGAAGAAGGCCCUAUGGGUCGUAAACCUCUUUUGUCAGGGAACAAAAGCGAGUAUGUAUACUAGUCUGAGUGUACCUGAAGAAAAAGCAUCGGCUAACUCCGUGCCAGCAGCCGCGGUAAUACGGAGGAUGCGAGCGUUAUCCGGAUUUAUUGGGUUUAAAGGGUGCGUAGGCGGCGAUGCAAGUCAGCGGUAAAAGCCCGGGGCUCAACCCCGGCGAGCCGUUGCAACUGACAGUGCUAGAGAAGGCGAGAGGUACGCGGAUGCGCAGUGUAGCGGUGAAAAUGCUUAGAUAUUGCGCAGAACUCCGAUUGCGAAGGCAGCGUACUGGCGCCUGACUGACGCUGAGGCACGAAAGCGUGGGGGAUCGAACAGGAUUAGAUACC
rnacentral:rRNA from 1 species